GUGAGGAAUUUUCCGCAAUGGGCGAAAGCCUGACGGAGCAAUGCCGCGUGAAGGAUGAAGGCCUAUGGGUUGUAAACUUCUUUUCUCAGAAAAGAAUUAUGACGGUAUCUGAGGAAUAAGCAUCGGCUAACUCUGUGCCAGCAGCCGCGGUAAGACAGAGGAUGCAAGCGUUAUCCGGAAUGAUUGGGCGUAAAGCGUCUGUAGGUUGUUUAAAAAGUAUUCUGUCAAAGAUUAGGGCUUAACCCUAGAUAGGCAGAAUAAACUUUUAAGCUAGAGUUUGGUAGAGGCAGAGUGAAUUCCCGGUGGAGCGGUGAAAUGCGUAGAUAUCGGGAGGAACACCAAAGGCGAAGGCACUCUGCUGGGCCAAUACUAACACUGAGAGACGAAAGCGAGGGGAGCAAAUGGGAUUAGAUACCCGUGUAGUCC
rnacentral:rRNA from 1 species